ensembl:misc_RNA sterile alpha motif and leucine zipper containing kinase AZK, intronic transcript
GGGAGGGAACGUGAUCUGCUUGGGCUGCCUGUCACCCCUUUGGUCUGCAAGGUUAACUUGGAUAAUUGGACUGACUAGGCAGUAUCCCCUUCCCUCAUUCCUCCAAGUGUCCCUCUUGCAGCUAUAUGCUUGGCUGAGGAGGAUGCCCUUCCCUAAUAAAGAGGGCUGUUUCUUGGUCAAGGAUAUAUACGUAGUCCACUCCUGUGUUAGAACCUUCAAGCUCCCAAAGAUAGUCUCUAGGGAUGAGAAGAGCUCUAUUUUAGGAUACCUAAAGGAAUGGGAGUUUAUCUAGCAGUAUUCCCCACCAU